UCUCUUUUCGGUGCCUUUGAAUGCUUCAAUGACCUUAUUUUGGUUAUAGGUAAGGCUGUGGAACAGAUUUUAACGCACAAGUUCUACACGCCACUCAGCAGAUUGAUAUACCAGGUUUACUUGAUCCACGGAGUCUGGGAAUUGUUCCACCUCGCCAGUCUGCGCCAUCCGCUUUAUGUUUCGGUCCCGCAUUUCGCUACACUGGUGGCUGGUGACUUUUUCCUAUCUAAUUUACUGGGACUCUGGUUGUACCUCAUAAUUGAUCGGCCGGCAGGAAACUUGAGAAGUUAUUUAAUUGAACGGGUAUCUAGGCCCCGGGAAUCUAAGAAAAAUGGUCUAAGAGUAUCCAAAAAAUGAUACAAUCAAGAUGGAACCUGGGACAAUGAUACCCAUGUUAAAAAUCUGGAUGCAGCGUCAUGAUUUUCGAUUGAGAGUUUAGAAGAAAGUUUCCAAGUCAGUAUUGUUUCUUAAAACAAUUUUCAGCCUCUCUUAAUGGAAGUUUCUUCCUUCUGCAUCCAAAGAAUCUGCAGUGUCAGAAGACAAGUAAUUGAUCUCAAUUUUGUCAGCCCAUCUAAAAAUUUUACUAUUUGUAUAAUUUUUCCUUCGGCUCCUCUUCCAGAAUUUUGUUUAUCGUUUUAUGAAAAGAAUUGAAGAAAGCGUUAAAGACUUUCAGCUUUGCAUAAAAUUCUUAAGAUUUUGCGAUGAUUCUCAGAAAAAUGUUUUCAGGAUAAUUUUUAGAAAUUUAACCUUGCGAAUCUUAUAUCAUCUAGGAAGUCUGUGAGAAAAAUGCUUUGAUACUCUGGAAAAUUCUUCAGGGGCUCUGCUUCUGUACAUUACUGAAAUAACUAUCUGAGAAUUUAGAAAGUCCAAAUUUGAAAAACAGUACUGGAGUACCUGUGUGCGGGUCUAAAUGUAGACAACAAUUGUGAGUAAACGAGAUUUAAAAAAAGCUUUACAUAAAAACAUACCAAAGUGCUUGACUAGUUGUAUUCCUGGUAUUAUUUUUCAUUGAUUUUCUCUCUCAUGUCCCAUGGGUUAGGAGGGACAAAUGGAUAGGAGUAAGCAAAUUUGACGGAUAUUUUCAGGUAGGUAAGUAUUGUAGUAAGUAGUGAGGAUUGGCCUAACUGAAGCCAACAAUGCACCUUUUACAGCACAUUAAGCUGUUGAAACUUGGAUUUCUUCAUUCCUUCAGCUUCCAAAAUGUAGAUAACCCUGUCCAGCAUUUCAAACUGAUUAAACUCAAUAAAGGAGAAUUAUUACUGGUCUGUGUUUGUUAUUUCUGAUUAAUCACUAAAUCAAAACAGGAGUUUUCUUCAAACUGAAAAUGAUCAACAUGAAGAAAGUUUUAGACGGUAAACAAGCUGUCCAUAAGCUGAUACGAAACUAUUUUGGUGUAGUUUACCCCCUUUUUUCUCUUUUUUUCCCUUUUGAUUUAACAAUAAAAACAAUAUUAUGGUUCAUUAUUCAAUUCUAAUUUAUUCACAAAAUUACAGGGUCUAAUUAAUCACAGUUAUUUGUCGUUUACAUUUUUUUCUAAUUUUACAAAAAGAAAAAGUAGAAUGCAAGCAAGUCAGUAAAAUUUAAAAACAAAACAUUAUUAAUAUUUUUUUCAUUUGCAAUAACCAUUAAUGCAAGAAUGAGGCAAAGUAGAUACAAAGGAGCAACAACUCCGACAUAGGUACUACGCCAUGACUUGAAAUGAUUUUACAGAUCGAAGUAAGGUUAUUAAAUAAUAAGAAAGCAAAGACAGGCUUUAACUUUAAAUUUUCUCACUGGAUAAAGGGGAAACGACUAUUGGAUUCAACAAUAACAAUAUAGCUUAUACAAAAAUUAUUUAAAGGGAGCUCAAUCUGAGAGUAUACAUUCAUGCAAAGCCUGAAACAAUUGGAUGCAUUUAAAUUAAAAGGAACUAUAUCAAUCGUGACAUGAGGCCUGUGAUUCAAGUAUUCUUGUGGAUCUUAGGACUCAUGUCAGAAUAAAUAUAUUUCAUUUUUAUUCAAAUAGCUGAAUUCAAAGUAAAGAUGACCCUCUUAAUGCUUUCAGACAAACAAAGGAGUGAGGAAUGGAUUAAUUAACCAAUUUAACACACCAAAAAAAAAAUGUUCAAACAAAAUUGUUGACAGAUUGACAGUGUUGAACUUAAAUUUAUGGUAACCAAGUAAAAGGUGCGAAAAAAAACCAAAC
rnacentral:lncRNA from 1 species